rnacentral:rRNA from 1 species
UACGUAGGGUGCAAGCGUUGUCCGGAAUUAUUGGGCGUAAAGGGCUCGUAGGCGGUCCAUCGCGUCGGGAGUGAAAAGCUGGGGCUCAACCCCAGUCCUGCUUCCGAUACGGGUGGACUAGAGGUAUGCAGGGGAGAACGGAAUUCCUGGUGUAGCGGUGAAAUGCGUAGAGAUGUGGAGGAACACCAGUGGCGAAGGCGACUUCUGGGCUGUAACUGACGCUGAGGCGCGAAAGCGUGGGGAGCAAACAGG